rnacentral:rRNA from 1 species
UACGUAGGGGGCAAGCGUUGUUCGGAAUUACUGGCGUAAGGGACGGCGUAGGAGCGGCACGGCAAGUCAGGAGUGAAAGGCCUGGGCUCAACCGAGGAACUGCUUUUGAGACUGCCGAGCUAGAGUGCAGAAGGGGCAACUGGAAUUCCCAGUGUAGCGGUGAAAUGCGUAGAUAUUGGGAGGAACACCAGAUGCGAAGGCGGGUCACUGGGCUGAUACUGACGCUGAGGCGCGAAAGCCAGGGGAGCGAACGGG